UUCCCCAGGGAAGGGUAGGACAAUAAAUAACAAUGCCGGGCCUUUGUAGGUCUGGCAUUGGAUGAGAACAAUUUAAACCCCUUAUCGAGUAUCAAUUGGAGGGCAAGUCUGGUGCCAGCAGCCGCGGUAAUUCCAGCUCCAAUAGCGUAUAUUAAAGUUGUUGCAGUUAAAAAGCUCGUAGUUGGAUUUGUGGCAGUCGCGUGCAGCCCGGCAUUCGUGCCGGUGCUUGCUAGCGUCGCCAUCCUUGGGUGGAACCUGUGUGGCAUUAGGUUGUCGUGCAGGGGAUGCCCAUCGUUUACUGUGAAAAAAUUAGAGUGUUCAAAGCAGGCUUAUGCCGUUGAAUAUGUUAGCAUGGAAUAAUAAGAUAGGACCUUGGUACUAUUUUGUUGGUUUGCGCACCAAGGUAAUGAUUAAUAGGGACAGUUGGGGGUAUUCGUAUUCCAUUGUCAGAGGUGAAAUUCUUGGAUUUCUGGAAGACGAACUACUGCGAAAGCAUUUACCAAGGAUGUUUUCAUUAAUCAAGAACGAAAGUUAGGGGAUCGAAGAUGAUUAGAUACCAUCGUAGUCUUAACCAUAAACUAUGCCGACAAGGGAUUGGCGGAGUUUCGUUUUGUCUCCGUCAGCACCUUAUGGGAAAAUCACAA
rnacentral:rRNA from 1 species